rnacentral:sRNA from 1 species
AGUGAACUUCGUUUGAAAUGAAAAUUAGCUUUGUCAAAGUUUAAAACUUUGACAAAGCUAAUUGUAAUGGAAAGCGGGAAAAUGA